GAUGAAGAACGUAGCGAAAUGCGAUAAGUAAUGUGAAUUGCAGAAUUCAGUGAAUCAUCGAAUCUUUGAACGCACAUUGCGCCCCUUGGUAUUCCGGGGGGCAUGCCUGUUCGAGCGUCAUUUGUACCUUCAAGCUUUGCUUGGUGUUGGGUGUUUGUCUCGCCUUUGCGUGUAGACUCGCCUUAAAAUAAUUGGCAGCCGGCGUAUUGAUUUCGGAGCGCAGUACAUCUCGCGCUUUGCACUCAUAACGACAGCGUCCAAAAGUACAUUUUACACUCUUGACCUCGGAUCAGGUAGGGAUACCCGCUGAACUUAAGCAUAUCAAUAAGCGGAGGA
rnacentral:misc_RNA from 1 species